rnacentral:rRNA from 1 species
UACGUAGGGUGCAAGCGUUAAUCGGAAUUACUGGGCGUAAAGCGUGCGCAGGCGGUGAUGUAAGACAGGUGUGAAAUCCCCGGGCUUAACCUGGGAACUGCAUUUGUGACUGCAUCGCUGGAGUGCGGCAGAGGGGGAUGGAAUUCCGCGUGUAGCAGUGAAAUGCGUAGAUAUGCGGAGGAACACCGAUGGCGAAGGCGGCGACCUGGGCCAAUAUUGACGCUGAGGUGCGAAAGCGUGGGGAGCAAACAGG